CCUACGGGUGGCUGCAGUGGGGAAUCUUCGUCAAUGGGCGCAAGCCUGAACGAGCGACGCCGCGUGGAGGAUGACAGCCUUCGGGUUGUAAACUCCUUUUCAGGGGGAAGAAUAAAUCUGGGAGGCAAUGCCCAGAUGAUGACGGUACCCUUGGAAUAAGCCACGGCUAACUCUGUGCCAGCAGCCGCGGUAAGACAGAGGCGGCGAGCGUUACCCGGAUUCACUGGGCGUAAAGGGUGUGUAGGCGGUCGCGCAUGUCUCCUGUGAAAUGCCCCGGCUCAACCGGUGCACGCCAGGGGAAACUGCGCGGCUAGAGGGCCGGAGAGGGAAGCGGAACUUCCAGAGUAGCGGUGAAAUGCGUAGAUACUGGAAGGUACCUCGAUAGCGAAGGCAGCUUCCUGGCCGGUUCCUGACGCUGAGGCACGAAAGCGUGGGGAGCAAACCGGAUUAGAUACCCGAGUAGUC
rnacentral:rRNA from 1 species